AUGAAUACAGAACCUGUCCUGCAGCACACUGCACUCACCACAGGGCUGUUUGGGAAAUGCCAGGAAGAGCUUCGAUCUGUGGCUGGCAGCUGAACCCUUGGAGCACAAGACACACAGCACGCAUUGUCAUCCUGAUCGAGGAAGGACAUCACAAUGAGCACUUUAAAGUGUGGCAGCAGAAAGAACUUAUGCUUCCUGUCUGCUUGGUUCAAAUGAGAUGCCUCAGAGCCACAUUUCUCAAAAGGCCUGUGAAAGAAAUGUGGAUCUCCAUGGCCAUGGAUUUUUGUACACAAAGGAACUGGGCCCUCCACAGUCUGUGACACCAUUUGUAAUCUUGAGUUGGACUUGCACAUGGUUAUUGAAACUUGGUAGGGGGUCUUCCCUCUCUGAGUAGUUUCCUGUGUUUAUUCUGCUUCCCUGUGCCUUGUGUCUGCCUCCACGCCGAUCUAUUUUUCAAGUGGCUGUUCAGGCCUAUUUGACUUGUUUUUUUUUUUUAACAUCUUGUAGCAGUUGAAUGAUAAAUUAUCACACAAAGGUUUCUCCUCUUGUUAUUUUAUUGAUUUCUAUUCAUUUAUAGUAGAAGUUAUUUGUGGCAACAGUAUUCUAGAUUUGUGGCAACAGUAUUCUAGAUUGAUUCAGCAGAAAGCUAUCAAAUACCAUCUAAUGAAAAAAGUGCGGACCUGUCAUUUCAUCACUUAAAAUUAAUUUUAACUUUAAAGCAUGAAUAAUCUCAUGAGCUAUCCAUGGGAAGUACUUGAGUUAGGUGAGCUGGAAGUAGCAGUGGUUAAAAUACUGUACCAUUUAGCCAAAACAUUAAGAGUGGCAUUAAGGACGAAGGCUAUAGGAGCCUUGUUCCAGAGACAUUCAACUUUGUCAUACAUUUGUUAAUUAGCAGACAACUACUGCAUUACAAGCACUUUGUAGCCUGGAAUGAAAUCAGGGGACUUGAUUCCAGUGGUCACAGGGAGAAAUCCAGAUCCUGUUGAAGUUGAUUGGAAUUUUGCCAUUGAUUAAGAGGGCCAGGAUUUCACACAUAAUCUAAAUACAAGUGCCUGGAAGAAGACAGGAAGCAGACAUAGAUUUAGUGAUGGCACGAAAUGUGACACAACGAUCUCCAUAAUGUCACCAUCCAGCAAGAUGCCUACCAGUAGUAAAACCCUAAGGCAAAAUAUCUUUUAAGAAGAUAUUGCUUUCUUAAAAGCAACUUAAGUUGAUAUGCCAGUUAAAAAAAAAAAAAAAAAAGGAGUGUUAUAGAAAUGUGCCUUGGUCUUGCUAGUGCAGUAAUAUUAAUUCAUAACCAAGUAGUAGAGUAUAGUAGAGUAUAAAACUGAAGUUCUUGAGCUUAGCUGGAGAAUAAUGGGCUCUGCAUUUCAUAAUCUAUGCUGACAAACUAUGGAAAAAGACAUUUGGGCUAAAUCAUCAUUCAUACUGAAACUGUAAACUAUGAUUACUUACUUCUGCCUUUCUAAAAUAGAUGAACAGGGGAAUUAAUAUAAUUAUCAAAAUAGAAGAAAAAUGGCUUCGUAUUAUCUGGGAAAUCUUCUCCAAGUCACAUAGACAUUUGGGUGAAAAUUGCUGUCUCAGAAGGCAGUUUUCCAGAGCUUAAAAGUCAACACAACGUUUCUGUCCAACAAUAAACUUUAUGUGAAACAUGAAGAUGAUAAAUAG
ensembl:lncRNA